rnacentral:lncRNA from 1 species
AUGGAGUGGUUUUGGGGAAGUCCCCUUGAGCACCCUCUGUGGGGCGCACUGGUUCCUUCCUCAGAGGACCGCAGUGUGUUUGUGCCUUCUCUUCCUUCCUGUCCGCAGCAAGAGGAAGGUGCUGCAAAUGCCCCGGGCUGGGGCCCCGGCCUUCCCGGGCUGGUCUCUUACAGAAGAGCCAACGCGCGCCCUUUGUACGGACGAGUUCUGGUGCCCUGCGCACUUUCUCCUGGCCCCAAGCACCUGCGCCCAGAGGGCUCACGGAGCAAGGAGGCCGGCAGUAGUCCUGUCUGUCCUGCGGCCACUAGGGGACGCUGUGUGGCUGCUCAUGACGGACACGGAGCCUCUUCCACAGAAGAUCCAAGGUCAUCUCCUUCAGGAUUUGGUUUGCAAUCUUCGCCCACUGCUUUAAGGAUUCUUUAUU